AAGACUUUAAGUUAAUAAAACUAUUAAUUUUCAAAAUUAACAAUAAAGAUAUUUUUUAAGUCUUA
rnacentral:tRNA from 1 species